GAAUUCCAGCAGACUAUUUAAACUCUUAGCCCCAUCACCACGGUUGGACACUCUUUCCUUCUGGGGCCGUUUUAGCCUGCAAUCGUCCCUCCUAAGCCCAUCAUGGGCUACAAAGCAAGGCAGCGGUAUGUUUAGGUAAUGAAAACGUCGUGAUGCUGCAGCAGUUUUGUUAAAUUGCCUUGCUGAAGGCAACCUACUUUUAGUAUAAUGGCACAUUGCUGAAGAUAGGUACAGAGUGGGAAGGCCAUGAACAAUAGGAAGGAAAAGAGGUUGAAAGCAGAGGAAAAGAAAGAGGUGAAUGAAGAGUAAAUCAGAGGCGAGAAGGGAAUAUGUGAAUUAUGACCGUUUUGUGGGUCAUAUGAGAAAGAGAUGUGACUUGCUGGAACUCUUUUGCUCGAUCAAGAACAACUUGUCAGUGCAAGCUCCAAUUCCUUAAUGUCCCCAGCAUGAGUGAAAAUGUCAAGCAUCUGAAACCAACAUUUUUGGAUGGCUGAAUAGAACAUUUAAUUGUUGAGGAUCAGUCAGGGAGAAUGCUUUCCUAACUUGGUGCACAGCUGAUAAACUUUAGAGAGUACACUAAUGCAGAAGGAGUAUCCACUGUAAACCACCUGCUAGAAUCUCCAAGAACUUGCAUUUGAAAAGCUUAAAGAAAGAACUAAAUGGUGAAGUUCUCCCUCUUUCCC